rnacentral:rRNA from 1 species
GUGGGGAAUAUUGGACAAUGGGCGGAAGCCUGAUCCAGCCAUGCCGCGUGUGUGAAGAAGGCCUUUUGGUUGUAAAGCACUUUAAGCGAGGAGGAGGCUCUUAAGGUUAAUACCCUUGAUGAGUGGACGUUACUCGCAGAAUAAGCACCGGCUAACUCUGUGCCAGCAGCCGCGGUAAUACAGAGGGUGCGAGCGUUAAUCGGAUUUACUGGGCGUAAAGCGUGCGUAGGCGGCUGAUUAAGUCGGAUGUGAAAUCCCUGAGCUUAACUUAGGAAUUGCAUUCGAUACUGGUCAGCUAGAGUAUGGGAGAGGAUGGUAGAAUUCCAGGUGUAGCGGUGAAAUGCGUAGAGAUCUGGAGGAAUACCGAUGGCGAAGGCAGCCAUCUGGCCUAAUACUGACACUGAGGUGCGAAAGCAUGGGGAGCAAACAGGAUUAGAAACCCUAGUAGUCC